UCUUCUGUGCAGUGUGGGGAGAGGAAAACACUUUCUGCGAGGAGAGUCAGUGUGGAGUAGAGCAGUUACCUGAUGGCUUUUCCAGAGUUCUGGGAAGAACAGCUGUCCCGCUGUUGAGACUUUCUGCUGCAUCUUUGUUUUCCAUUUCGGCGAUUUCUGCUCUUUUACCUUCUCCUUCAUUCUAUAUCCUUUGGGUUUAUUCUUGUGUUGUGUUUUAACUUCUUAUUUUAGGUUCACGCCGAAACAACCGACAUAGCUCAGUGACUCAACACACAAGAGUUUACAUGUUCUUCACGCGCACUCCUCUGCGGGUGUGCUGGCUGGGCAACUCUCCAUACCAGCUCUCCUCCAGCCAGCGGCUCAGGGACUCAGCACAACCUGACGUCCAUCGGCACAACAACGUUUGCGCGGUGCUUUAUUCUUCCAAUGGAAGAAGGCUCUGCAGCGAGAGAACACGAAUGAAUCCCAGCUCUUCACAUCCAAGACGAAAUCUAGGAACACGAUGCUGAGUGGAACGAGGAAGUGCCAGCAUUCAACCCACAGGGUAACACUCCAUUACCUUCCAAAAGAGGCUGGCCAGUUUCUUACAUUUCACUAAAGUAGAAGAACCGUUACAUAUGCAUGUUCAGACCCAUCGUGAAUGACUCAUGUGGCUGCAACAUGGAGAGAUCGGCAGUUCUCACGGACCCUGAACUCGACAAACAUUCCUGCUUUCCUUAACAUUCCUUUCCUAUUGCCUCAAUUAAAUAAU